rnacentral:lncRNA from 1 species
CUGCUCCAGGGAAUCCUGACUUUCAAGGACUGGAGCUCUUGAGGACAGCUGGCACUCAGCUGGUCAUAUUGCCGGCCUCACAUAGCCUCACUGUCUCCCAUAAACUCAACUGAUGCUAUUUAGACUUUUUAAAAAAAAUUGCGGCACAGGAAAUUUUUCCUCAAUGCAUGUGAGAGCUGUUUGAUUCCCCAAAGAAAAAGACUUGGCAAGUCAGUUGUGAGGAAAGGAGAAAGACUGAACACAUGAGCACAUUUUAACAAUGUCCAAGUGUAAGUUUUAUUGCCAACGGUAGACAUGCACUGGAAUUUGAAUCCCAGCCCAAAUGCUAAAUGCGGUUGUUUUUAUCUAUGUGGAGAACAUUGCGGUUUUCUUCUGAGGUGAGUCACUUCGUUGUGAUUUAUGCAGUUAGUAAAUGUAUCUGAUUUGUUUUUGUUAGUGAGUUCAAAGUUUGUUUUUGCUUUUUAUUUGUUUUUGUUUCAUUUUGUUUUUUUUCCCAGUGAAGAAACUAUCAGGUCUGGUAAGAAUAAGAGGAAACAAAAUGUUAUUGGCAUGCUCAAUAAUGAUAAAGCCAAGAUGUCACCUGCCAGUACAAUGAAGAGGGACUGGGGUCUUGGCACUAAAAGGGUGCAACUGAAGGAACAGAGAAACUGUGUAAUUGUAAAACCUCCUUGUGGCCCCACAUGGCUCAUACUCAAAUGAUUCCAGUGUCUAUGGCCUGAGAAGUGCUUCAUGAAAUGAGGAACAGUGCCUCAAGUCAGAGAUUGGCAUGGUGAGUCGCCGGGAGGUGGAAAAGAGGCACAGCUUCAUUGAAGCUACAGUUGGCUGCAAGGAACCAUUUCAAAUCAUCUUAGUUCUACGGGGCCAUUCAGGUGGCAAAGGCCCAGGUAACAUUUGAUCAAGUUGCUACAGGGCUUGGACCUACUUUUAUUGCCCCUUACUUUUCCCACUAACAUUUUUGCUUGAAAUAUCGAUGUUUUUUUGGUGCAGCAAAACUCUUUUCCCACAGCUAAAUUGAAGUAGGGCAUAUGUGCUUCCCUCACCUCGCUCCCAGUCCCUCUUGACCCCGAAAUGGUCUAGCAGCCUGUGCUUUGUUAAACUGAAAAUGUGUAGAAAUUUUUAUAGAGAUAUUCAGCUAUAUAAAUAGCUUUGAAAUUUGUCAUAACUUUAAAAACAGGUCAAAAAGGAAAUUGAACAGCUAGUGAGUUUCUGUCUUAGUCCGUUUUGUGCUGCUAUAACAGAAUACCAUAAACUAGGUAAUUUAUAAACAAUAGAAGUUUAUUUGUCUCAAUGGCCAACAAGCAUAUGGAAAAAUGUUCAACAUCACUAAUUAUCAGGGAAAUACAAAUCAAAACCACAGUGCGAUACCACGUAACUUCUGCAAUAAUGGUCAUAAUCAAAAAAUAAUAAUAAAUAAAUAGAUGUUGGCAUGGAUAUGGUGAAAAGGGAACACUUUUACUGGGUUGGUGGGAAUGUAAACUAGCACAACCACUAUAGAAAACAGUAUGGAGACUCCUUAAAGAACUAAAAGUAGACCUACCAUUUGACCUAGCAACCCCACUGCUAUGUAUCUGCUCAGAAGUAAAGAAGUCAUUAUACAAAAAAGACACUUGUUACAUGCAUGUAUAUAGCAGUACAAUUGCCCAAAUGCCCAUCAAUCAAUGAGUGGAUAAAAAAUGUUAUAUACAUACAUAUAUGUGUGUGUAUAUAUACAUAUACAUAUACACACACACACACAUACACACACACACACACACACACACACAUAUACCAUGGAAUACUGCUCAGCCAAAGAAAGGAAUGAAAUAAUGGGAUUUGCAGCAACCUGGAUGGAAUUGGAGGCUAUUAUUCUAAGUGAAGUAACUCAGGAAUAGAUAACCAAACAUACAUGUUCUCACUCAUAUGUGGGAACUAAGCUAUGAGAAUGCAAAGGCAUAAGAAUGAUAUAUUGGAGUUUGGAGACUCAAAGGAAAGAGUGGGGGAGAGGGAGGGAUAAAAGACUACACAUUGGGUACAGUAUACAAUGCUUGAGUGAUGGGUGCAACAAAAUCUCAGAAAUCCCCACUAAUGAGCAUAUUCAUGUAACAAAAUACCAUCUGUUCCCCAAAACUUAUUGAAAUAAAAAAUAAAAAAUUAAUGAUAAUAACAAUAAAAAGAAGUUUAUUUGUCUUAUGUUUCUGGAGGCCAGGAAGUCCAAGAUCAAGGGGUUGCAUCUAGUGGGGGUCUUCUUGCUGAGUCAUAACCUGGCAGAAGACAUCACAUGAAGAGAGAAUGGAUGAGAGCCAGCAAGCAAGAGAGGGCCAAACUUGCUUUUAUAACAAACCCAUUCCUGACAUCAUGAACUUACCCCUGCCAUAAUGACAUUAAUCCAUUCCAGGGGGCAAAGCUCUCAUGACCUAAUCACCUCUCAAAAGUGCCACCUCUCGAUGCUGUUGCAUUGGGGAUUAAGUUUCCAACACAUGAACUCUGGGGAGAUGCAUUCAAACCUUAGCAGUUUAA